rnacentral:rRNA from 1 species
CGAGUCCGAGGAGCUACGGCUCUUAAGUGAUACAAGUCAGACUUCCCAGCAAAGCCCGAACCACGUUAAUUUCUAAUUACCUGUACCCGAAACCGACACAGGUGGGUAGGUAAAGUAUACUAAGGGGCGCGAGAUAACUCUCUCUAAGGAACUCGGCAAAAUGACUCCGUAACUUCGGGAGAAGGAGUGCCUUAUUUAUAAGGUUGCAAUAACAAGAUCCAAGCAACUGUUUAUCAAAAACACAGGUCUCCGCUAAGUCGUAAGACGAUGUAUGGGGGCUGACGCCUGCCCAGUGCCAGAAGGUUAAAGAAGUUGGUUAGUGUAUGCGAAGCUGAUGACUGAAGCCCUGGUGAACGGCGGCCGUAACAAUAACGGUCCUAAGGUAGCGAAAUUCCUUGUCGGGUAGUUCCGACCCGCACGAAAGGCGUAAUGAUUUGGAUACUGUCUCGGAGAGAGGCUCGGUGAAAUAGACUUGUCUGUGAAGAUGCGGACUACCUGCACCAGGACAGAAAGACCCUAUGAAGCUUUACUGUAACUUGAAAUUGGAAUUGGACUUUGCUUGCGCAGUAUAGGUGGGAAGCGUUGAAGAUAUUCUUGCGGGAGUAUUGGAGCUAUCAGUGAGAUACCACUCUUGUAAUGUUAGAUUUCUAACUUUGAACCAUAAUCUGGUCAAAGAACAGUUUCAGGUGGGCAGUUUGACUGGGGCGGUCGCCUCCCAAAUGGUAACGGAGGCGUACAAAGGUUUCCUCUGAACGGAUAGAAAUCGUAUCUAGAGUGUAAAGGCAUAAGGAAGCUUGACUGUGAGACCUACAAGUCGAGCAGGGACGAAAGUCGGUCUUAGUGAUCUGACGGUACUGAGUGGAAAGGCCGUCACUCAACGGAUAAAAGUUACUCUAGGAUAACAGGCUGAUCUCCCCCAAGAGUUCACAUCGACGGGGAGGUUUGGUACCUCGAUGUCGGCUCAUCGCAUCCUGGGGCGGUAGUACGUCCCAAGGGUUGGGCUGUUCGCCCAUGAAAGCGGUACGCGAGCUGGGUUCAAAACGUCGUGAGACAGUUCGGUCCAUAUCCGGUGUAGGCGUUAGAAUAUUGAGAGGAGCCUUCUUUAGUACGAGAGGACCGAGAAGGACACACCGCUGGUGUACCAGUUAUCGUGCCAACGGUAAACGCUGGGUAGCUAUGUGUGGAGUGGAUAACCGCUGAAAGCAUCUAAGUGGGAAGCCCACCUCAAGAUGAGUAUUCUCA